AUUGAACGCUGGCGGCAUGCUUUACACGUGCAAGUCGAACGGUAACAGGCCGCAAGGUGCUGACGAGUGGCGAACGGGUGAGUAAUGCAUCGGAACGUGCCCAGUCGUGGGGGAUAACUACUCGAAAGAGUAGCUAAUACCGCAUACGAUCUAUGGAUGAAAGCGGGGGACCGUAAGGCCUCGCGCGAUUGGAGCGGCCGAUGUCAGAUUAGGUAGUUGGUGGGGUAAAGGCUCACCAAGCCAACGAUCUGUAGCUGGUCUGAGAGGACGACCAGCCACGCUGGGACUGAGACACGGCCCAGACUCCUACGGGAGGCAGCAGUGGGGAAUUUUGGACAAUGGGCGCAAGCCUGAUCCAGCAAUGCCGCGUGCAGGAAGAAGGCCUUCGGGUUGUAAACUGCUUUUGUACGGAACGAAACGGCUCUGGUUAAUACCCGGGGCUAAUGACGGUACCGUAAGAAUAAGCACCGGCUAACUACGUG
rnacentral:rRNA from 1 species